ensembl:snRNA U6 U6 spliceosomal RNA
GUGCUCACUUCAGCAGUACAUAUACUAAAAUUAAAACAAUACAGAGAUUAGCAUGGCCCAAGUGCAAGGAUGACAUGCAAAUUCGUGAAGCGUUCCAUAUUUUU